CCUACGGGUGGCAGCAGUGGGGGAUAUUGCACAAUGGGGGAAACCCUGAUGCAGCGACGCCGCGUGUGGGAAGACGGUCCUCUGGAUUGUAAACCACUGUCCCCAGGGACGAAGAUGACGGUACCUGGGGAGGAACCCCCGGCGAACUACGUGCCAGCAGCCGCGGUAAUACUUAGGGAGCGAGCGUUGUCCGGAAGUACUGGGUGAAAAGGGAGCGUAGGCGGGCUUGCAAGAUGGGUGGAAAAUCUACGGGCUCAACCGGUAACCGCACUCAAAACUGGAGUGCUGGAGUGAAGUAGAGGCAGGCGGAAUUCCUAGUGUAGCGGUGAAAUGCUUAGAUAUUAGGAGGAACACCAGUGGCGAAGGCGGCCUGCUGGGCUUUUACUGACGCUGAGGCUCGAAAGUGUGGGGAGCAAACAGGAUUAGAUACCCCAGUAGUC
rnacentral:rRNA from 1 species